CGCUCCUACCGAUUGAGUGAUCCGGUGAAUAAUUUGGACCGACUCAGUGCUCAGCUUCUGGACGUUGCGUUGGAAAGUUUCAUGAACCUUAUCACUUAGAGGAAGGAGAAGUCGUAACAAGGUUUCCGUAGGUGAACCUGCGGAAGGAUCA
rnacentral:rRNA from 1 species